CCUUGUCAAGAAGUCCAAAUUUCUCAUGACUCCAGAGGCAUAAAGAUUCUCACAAAGCAGCCCUGAUUCUUAGAGUGUCUCUUUUAUUAGCAACAAUGGAAACAUUCUCCUUUAUGUUUGCCAGUACAGAUAAGGUUCUGUUGAACAAAGAGUCCUCUUGAACAAACCAGAUCUGCCUCUAGGUUUUGCCAGGGCUGUCUCCUCAGCACAACUCUCCAGACCAAAGAGGAAAGAACAUAUAUGGAGUGGUUCCUAUAUGCCAGACUUCUCCAUCUGGUCUGCAUUUGAAGAUUCCUUGUAGACAACUGUGUUCUUGUCACCCCUGAGAACAUGGUCACGGCCAGGGGUCUGAAUAGAUGGGGACUCAUCAUUUACCUGCCAGAUCUGAAAUGACCAGGUCAGCCAUAUCUGUCCUGCAGAGAAUGCUGUUGCCUCAGGAAAAUUCAACAAUUGGCCCCCAACUCAGACAUCGUGAGGCUGAACGGUUAUCCAAACUGGAAAGGAGAGAGAGAGAGAGAGAGACAGACAGACAGACAGACAGACAGGCAGGCAGAGAGGUAUUUGAAGGUGUGUGACCUCUGACAGUUGUUCUCAAGCCCAGCACCUGCUUUGUCAACCCUGCUGCUUUGAUAGAGUUAAGGGAUCCUUCUUGUACCAAGAUGUGGGGGAACUCUCCAUUGCCAAUUGCUUCACUGAGAUGUACUUUUACAACACCCCAGAGCAACAAUCAUCUUAUUUUCCCAUUAGUAAUCAAGAUACGCUUUCUCACGGUUGCUAUUCUUCCUGUGAUCUUGAACCUGCAUGCCCUGUCUUUGGUUGAUGCCAUUCCUGAGCUCUAAACCCACUGAGAAUAAAACAGAACCUUCUCAGUA